rnacentral:rRNA from 1 species
AUUGAACGCUGGCGGCAGGCCUAACACAUGCAAGUCGAGCGGAUGAAGGGAGCUUGCUCCUGGAUUCAGCGGCGGACGGGUGAGUAAUGCCUAGGAAUCUGCCUGGUAGUGGGGGCUAACGUCCGGAAAAGGGCGCUAAUACCGCAUCCGUCCUGCGGGAGAAAGUGGGGGAUCUUCGGACCUCACGCUACCAGAUUAGCCUAGGUCGGAAUAGCUAGUUGGUGGGGUAAAGGCCUACCAAGGCGACGACCCGUAACUGGUCUGAGAGGUUGAUCAGUCACACUGGAACUGAGACACGGUCCAGACUCCUACGGGAAGCAGCAGUGGGGAAUAUUGGACAAUGGGCGAAAGCCUGAUCCAGCCAUGCCGCGUGUGUGAAGAAGGUCUUCGGAUUGUAAAGCACUUUAAGUUGGGAGGAAGGGCAGUAAGUUAAUACCGUGCUGUUUUGACGGUACCAACAGAAUAAGCACCGGCUAACUUCGUG